AUUGAACGCUGGCGGCAUGCUUUACACAUGCAAGUCGAACGGUAACAGGCCGCAAGGUGCUGACGAGUGGCGAACGGGUGAGUAAUGCAUCGGAACGAGCCCAGUCGUGGGGGAUAACGCAGCGAAAGCUGUGCUAAUACCGCAUACGAUCUGUGGAUGAAAGCGGGGGACCGUAAGGCCUCGCGCGAUUGGAGCGGCCGAUGUCAGAUUAGGUAGUUGGUGGGGUAAAGGCUCACCAAGCCGACGAUCUGUAGCUGGUCUGAGAGGACGACCAGCCACACUGGGACUGAGACACGGCCCAGACUCCUACGGGAGGCAGCAGUGGGGAAUUUUGGACAAUGGGCGCAAGCCUGAUCCAGCAAUGCCGCGUGCAGGAAGAAGGCCUUCGGGUUGUAAACUGCUUUUGUACGGAGCGAAAAGGCUCUCUCUAAUACAGGGGGCUCAUGACGGUACCGUAAGAAUAAGCACCGGCUAACUACGUGCCAGCCGCCGCGGUAAUAC
rnacentral:rRNA from 1 species